UACGUAGGGGGCAAGCGUUGUCCGGAAUUACUGGGCGUAAAGCGCGUGUAGGCGGGACGGCAAGUCUGACGUGAAAGGCUCGGGCUCAACCCGAGAUGGCCGCUGGAAACUGCCGUUCUUGAGGGUCGAAGAGGAGAGUGGAAUUCCUGGUGUAGCGGUGAAAUGCGUAGAGAUCAGGAGGAACACCCAUGGCGAAGGCAGCUCUCUGGUCGACCUCUGACGCUGAGACGCGAAAGCGUGGGGAGCGAACGGG
rnacentral:rRNA from 1 species